AGCGAACGUUAGCGGCGGGCCUAACACAUGCAAGUCGAGCGAGAAAGGGGCUUCGGCCCUGAGUAAAGCGGCGGACGGGUGAGUAACACGUAGGUAAUCUUCCCUUGAGCGGGGGACAACGGUCCGAAAGGACCGCUAAUACCGCAUACGUUUCCGAGGACCCUGGUCCUUGGAAGGAAAGCUAGGCCGCAAGGUCCGGCGCUCGAGGAGGAGCCUGCGUCGCAUCAGCUAGUUGGUGGGGUACUGGCCUACCAAGGCGAAGACGCGUAGCUGGUGUGAGAGGAUGAGCAGCCACACUGGGACUGAGACACGGCCCAGACUCCUACGGGAGGCAGCAGUGGGGAAUAUUGGACAAUGGCGCAAGCCUGAUCCAGCCACGCCGCGUGAGUGAUGAAGGCCUUCGGGUCGUAAAGCUCUGUGGGGAGGGACGAACCGCUGCACGUGCAUAGCGUGCAGCAUGACGGUACCUCCUUAGCAAGCACCGGCUAACUUCGUGCCAGCCGCCGCUGUAAGAC
rnacentral:rRNA from 1 species